rnacentral:rRNA from 1 species
GAUGAACGCUGGCGGCGUGCCUAAUACAUGCAAGUCGAGCGAACAGACGAGGAGCUUGCUCCUCUGACGUUAGCGGCGGACGGGUGAGUAACACGUGGAUAACCUACCUAUAAGACUGGGAUAACUUCGGGAAACCGGAGCUAAUACCGGAUAAUAUAUUGAACCGCAUGGUUCAAUAGUGAAAGACGGUUUUGCUGUCACUUAUAGAUGGAUCCGCGCCGCAUUAGCUAGUUGGUAAGGUAACGGCUUACCAAGGCAACGAUGAGUAGCCGACCUGAGAGGGUGAUCGGCCACACUGGAACUUAGACACGGUCCAGACUCCUAAGGGAGGCAGCAGUAGGGAAUCAUCCGCAAUGGGCGAAAGCCUGACGGAGCAACGCCGCGUGAGUGAUGAAGUUCUUCGGAUCGUAAAACUCUGUUAUUAGGGAAGAACAAAUGUGUAAGUAACUAUGCACGUCUUGACGGUACCUAAUCAGAAAGCCACGGCUAACUACGUG